UACGUGAGGGGCGAGCGUUGUCCGGAUUUACUGGGCGUAAAGAGCGCGUAGGCGGUCUUGUAAGUGUGAAGUGAAAUCUCCAGGGCUCAACCCGGAAACUGCUUUACAUACUGCAAGACUGGAGUGAUGAAGAGGUUUGUGGAAUUCCUGGUGUAACGGUGAAAUGUGUUGAUAUCAGGAGGAACACCCAUGGCGAAGGCAGCAAACUGGUCAUCAACUGACGCUGAGGCGCGAAAGCGUGGGUAGCAAACAGG
rnacentral:rRNA from 1 species